GAUGUAGCUUGGUUGGGAGCGUUUGCCUGGCAUUCACAAAGCUGAUUCAAUUCUUUGUGCCGUACGAUUCAGGCAUAAUUUUAUAUGCUUGUGAUCCCUGUACUUAAGAGGUGGUGGCAGGAGGAUUAGAAGUUCAAAAGUUGACAGAUAGUGGUGGCACACAUCUUUAGAUUCAGGAGGCAGAGGCAGGCUGAUUUCUGAGUGUGAGGCCAGCUGGUCUACAGAGCUAAUUCCAGGAUAGCCAGGGCUACACAGAGAAAUCUUUUCUCAAAAAAAAAAACCAAAAAACAAAAAACAAAAAACCACCAAAACAAAUCAACAACAACAACAACACCAAACCCAAAAAGUUCAAAGGUAACCUUAGCUACAUGGGGAAUUCCAGGAUAGCCUGAGCUAGAGACUUACUCAAAAAAUAGAGGGAGGGAACAAGAACAAGGUAUUUUGCCUGCUUUGUCCUUGCCCCCUGACCCUUGGGACCAGAAGCAGAGGUCUUCUCAGCAGAGGUUGCUGGUGUAUGGGAGGUGCUCACACAGUUUAGGAUAUUUAGAAAUCGAGUGAUCCUUGUCCAGUCAGGACAGAGGAUACACUAAUCUCUUCCUCUUCUCCUGCUUCCUCCUUUUUUGGGGGGGGGGGGAUAGCCCUGGCUGUCCUGGAACUCACUCUGUAGACCAGACUGGCCCCGAACUCAGAAAUCCACCUGCCUCUGCCUCCCGAGUGCUGGGAUUAAAGGUGUGCGCCACCACGCCCGGCUUGCUUCCUCCUUCCUAAGCAAGAGAAACAUUUACCCUUGCGAUUCUUAAAAAAAAAAGCUUUUUAUCAUUUUUUAAAACAUUUUUAUGGGUGGGUGUUUUGCUCCCAUGCAUGUCUCUGCAUGCCGUGCCCACAGAGGUCAGAGAGCAUGUCAGAUCAUCUGAAACUGGAGUUACUACUGUGAGCCAGCCUGCGGUCAAACCCUGGUCCUUUUGAAGAGCAGCGGCAGCUCUUACCUGCUGAGCCCUCUUUCCAGCUCCUUAUCCAGGGAGAGAUAAAGGAGCUAUGUGAAUCUUCUUGGGGACUCAUCUCUACUCUUCCCCAUGAUGCCCUGACUGGGCUAUCCCAUUGGGAAUGCUUCUAGAUUUGAGUUUUUCAAGUCCUUGGAGUUAUUUGUACUAAAAAAGACAAAAACAAACACAAACACAAAACAAAAACAAAACCCAUGGACAAAUAGUUCCUUUCCUUGGCCCAUUAGGUCUCAUACCAAAGAGGGCUGGGACACCUCUGAGUGGGAAUUCACCAGGACUACAGCCUUAAAAACAUGUAGGAGAGAUGCAGGGCAGCACCUUUAAUCCUGUACCCUCUGGGCAGAGGCAGGCGGAUCUCUGAGAUCGAGGCCAGCCUGGUCUACAGAGUGAGUUCCUGGCCAGCCAGGACUACACAGAGAAACCCUGUCUUGAAAAGACAAGGAAAAUGAAAGUGUAGGGCAAACCACCAUUUUACGGAGGUUAUGUGGGGCAUCAAGCUCUGCGCCUUGGAAAAAUGACUAUUCUGUCUUAAUAUCAUGUCCAAAUCCACUUCUGGGACCUUUAGCUGAGAGGUCUCUUCUCUCAUUGCCUUCUCUGUUUUACAAGUCAAGUCCCUCACUGUGAGUGGGAUGAUUUCCUGCUGCCUUCCUUCCCUCUGCCUGUUAGGUCACAUACCAAAGAUUGCUGAGUGCUGGUGGGAUGUGGAGCCUCACUUGGACACCUCAGACAGGAAGUCCACCAGGGCCAACAAGCCUAAGGAGGGCACAAAGGGCCACUUUAGUUCCCUGGGGGACUGGCUUACCUGGGGUCAGUGUGUAAUGAGUUUUGUCUGGCAAGAUUUGCUGAUUCUGUUCAAACGCACCAUUAUGAAUUGAAUAAACUAUUUG
rnacentral:lncRNA from 1 species